GACGAACGCUGGCGGCGUGCUUAACACAUGCAAGUCGAACGGAAAGGCCCUGCUUUUGUGGGGUGCUCGAGUGGCGAACGGGUGAGUAACACGUGAGUAACCUGCCCUUGACUUUGGGAUAACUUCAGGAAACUGGGGCUAAUACCGGAUAGGAGCUCCUGCUGCAUGGUGGGGGUUGGAAAGUUUCGGCGGUUGGGGAUGGACUCGCGGCUUAUCAGCUUGUUGGUGGGGUAGUGGCUUACCAAGGCUUUGACGGGUAGCCGGCCUGAGAGGGUGCCCGGCCACAUUGGGCCUGGGUUCCGGCCCAGACUCCUCGGGGGGGAAGCGGGGGGAAUUAUGGCACAAUGGCGGGAGCCCGAUUGCAGCAACGCCGCGUGCGGGAUGACGGCUUUCGGGUUGUAACCCGCUUUCGCCUGUGACGAGGCGUGAGUGCCGUUAUUGGUAAAGAAGCACCGGCUAACUACGUG
rnacentral:rRNA from 1 species